CUAACGCGUUAAAUCGACCGCCUGGGGAGUACGGCCGCAAGGUUAAAACUCAAAUGAAUUGACGGGGGCCCGCACAAGCGGUGGAGCAUGUGGUUUAAUUCGAUGCAACGCGAAGAACCUUACCUACUCUUGACAUCCAGAGAACUUUCCAGAGAUGCUUUGGUGCCUUCGGGAACUCUGAGACAGGUGCUGCAUGGCUGUCGUCAGCUCGUGUUGUGAAAUGUUGGGUUAAGUCCCGCAACGAGCGCAACCCUUAUCCUUUGUUGCCAGCGGUUCGGCCGGGAACUCAAAGGAGACUGCCAGUGAUAAACUGGAGGAAGGUGGGGAUGACGUCAAGUCAUCAUGGCCCUUACGAGUAGGGCUACACACGUGCUACAAUGGCAUAUACAAAGAGAAGCGACCUCGCGAGAGCAAGCGGACCUCAUAAAGUAUGUCGUAGUCCGGAUUGGAGUCUGCAACUCGACUCCAUGAAGUCGGAAUCGCUAGUAAUCGUAGAUCAGAAUGCUACGGUGAAUACGUUCCCGGGCCUUGUACACACCGCCCGUCACACCAUGGGAGUGGGUUGCAAAAGAAGUAGGUAGCUUAACCUUCGGGAGGGCGCUUACCACUUUGUGAUUCAUGACUGGGGUGAAGUCGUAC
rnacentral:rRNA from 1 species